GAAAUGCGAUAAGUAGUGUGAAUUGCAGAAUUCAGUGAAUCAUCGAAUCUUUGAGCGCACAUUGCGCCCCUUGGUAUUCCAUGGGGCAUGCCUGUUCGAGCGUCAUUUGUACCCUCAAGCUCUGCUUGGUGUUGGGUGUUUGUCCCCGUCUCCGCGCGUGGACUCGCCCCAAAGUGAUUGGCAGCCGGCGUACUGGUCCCGGAGCGCAGCACAUGUCGCGCAAACGAGUGCCUUGGUACGGCGGCGUCCAUAAGCCCCUCUCUCACGCUCUUGACCUCGGAUCAGGUAGGGAUACCCGCUGAACUUAAGC
rnacentral:misc_RNA from 1 species